rnacentral:rRNA from 1 species
GGUCGUCAGAGACGAUGACGUCGAUAGGACGCAGGUGCAGAGGCGGCAACGUCUACAGCCGAGCGUUACUAAUCACCCGAACCCUUUCCGGG